AGCCGAUUUUGUAACGUUGAGGCUUGCUGUCGUAGAACAAUGCUCUGUCUUAUGAGCACUCAACUUUAAAACCAUUGCUGUUGGAGGUCUGCUUCCCGCUUGCGGGUCGAGCGUCCACUGAAACGGUGAUGACCUGAGGUUUGGGAUAUUU
rnacentral:ncRNA from 1 species